rfam:Euryarchaeota archaeon TMED141 14767, whole genome shotgun sequence.
GGACCUGUAGCUCAGACGGGUAGAGCACCCGGCUCAUAACCGGGAGGUCAGGGGUUCGAUGCCCUUCGGGUCCA